CCAAGCGGUGACUUCUAUUUGGAU
rnacentral:siRNA from 1 species